CAUAACUCACAAGUUCUUUCCCAGGAUCUCAUUUGGCUCUUGUAAUCUUUUCGAGAGAUCUCUAAAUAUUUUCAAAUGUGAUGUAAGUAUGCAUUCCAUCAGUCUUAUUCCUUCUUCAAGAUCGCUUCAAAUUUAUUUCUCAUCGUUGGCUCAACCUUCAUUCUUCAUCAUUCCGGUGUGAUUCAGUAAUUCUUGGUGGUGUUCUCCUCCUCAUUUUUAGCUCGGAAGACUGAAGGAGUGUUUCUCUCAAAUCUUGGCCCAUUCUCUUGAAGAUUCAUCAUUUUAGCUUUGUGUCAUCAUCUUGAAUUGUUCUCGAUCAUGAGAAAUUCCUUCCAUAUCUAUCUGAUGC
rnacentral:lncRNA from 1 species